AACGAACGCUGGCGGCAUGCCUAACACAUGCAAGUCGAACGAGACCUUCGGGUCUAGUGGCGCACGGGUGCGUAACGCGGGGGAACCUGCCCUUAGGUUCGGAAUAACUCCCCGAAAGGGGUGCUAAUACCGGAUAAUGUCUUCGGACCAAAGAUUUAUCGCCUUUGGAUGGGCCCGCGUUGGAUUAGCUGGUUGGUAGGGUAAAAGCCUACCAAGGCGACGAUCCAUGGCUGGUCUGAGAGGAUGCUCAGCCAGACUGGGACUGAGACACGGCCCAGACUCCGACGGGAGGAAGCAGUGGGGAAUAUUGGACGAGGGGCGAAAGCCUGAUCAAGCAAUGCCGCGUGAGUGAGGAAGGCCUUAGGGUUGUAAAGCUCUCUUACCCGGGAUGAUAAUGACAGUACCGGGAGAAUAAGCACCGGCUAACUCCGUG
rnacentral:rRNA from 1 species